rnacentral:rRNA from 1 species
CAGCCGCCGCGGUAAUACGGAGGGCGCGAGCGUUACCCGGAUUUACUGGGCGUAAGGGGCGUGUAGGCGGCCUGGGGCGUCCCAUGUGAAAGGCCACGGCUCGACCGUGGAGGAGCGUGGGAUACGCUCAGGCUAGAGGGUGGGAGAGGGUGGUGGAAUUCCCGGAGUAGCGGUGAAAUGCGCAGAUACCGGGAGGAGCGCCGAUGGCGAAGGCAGCCACCUGGUCCACUUCUGACGCUGAGGCGCGAAAGCGUGGGGAGCAAACCGGAUUAGAUACCCGAGUAGUCCCUGUCUCUUAUAC